rnacentral:rRNA from 1 species
GACGAACGCUGGCGGCGUGCUUAACACAUGCAAGUCGAACGGAAAGGCCCUGCUUUUGUGGGGUGCUCGAGUGGCGAACGGGUGAGUAACACGUGAGUAACCUGCCCUUGACUUUGGGAUAACUUCAGGAAACUGGGGCUAAUACCGGAUAGGAGCUCCUGCUGCAUGGUGGGGGUUGGAAAGUUUCGGCGGUUGGGGAUGGACUCGCGGCUUAUCAGCUUGUUGGUGGGGUAGUGGCUUACCAAGGCUUUGACGGGUAGCCGGCCUGAGAGGGUGACCGGCCACAUUGGGACUGAGAUACGGCCCAGACUCCUACGGGAGGCAGCAGUGGGGAAUAUUGCACAACGGGCGGAAGCCUGAUGCAGCAACGCCGCGUGCGGGAUGACGGCCUUCGGGUUGUAAACCGCUUUCGCCUGUGACGAAGCGUGAGUGACGGUAAUGGGUAAAGAAGCACCGGCUAACUACGCG